GACGAAGGGUGCGAGCGUUAAUCGGAAUUACUGGGCGUAAAGCGCGCGUAGGCGGCGUGAUAAGCCGGUUGUGAAAGCUCCCGGCUUAACUGGGAAAUUGCAUCGGAAACUGAUCGGCUGGAAGGUGGGAGAGGGUAGCGGAAUUCCCGGUGUAGUGGUGAAAUGCGUAGAGAUCGGGAGGAACACCAGUGGCGAAGGCGGCUCGCUGGGCCGGUCCUGACGCUGAGACGCGAAGGCGUGGGGAGCGAACGGG
rnacentral:rRNA from 1 species